UCAGGAUGAACGCUAGCUACAGGCCUAACACAUGCAAGUCGAGGGCAGCAGAUCGAAGCUUGCUUUGAUGCUGGCGACCGGCGAAUGGGUGAGUCACGCGUGUCCAACCUGCCCUGUGCCCGGGGAUAGCCCUUGGAAAUGAGGAUUAACACCCGAUAGGUGGCGCUUCCGCAUGGCGGCGCCAUGAAACCGACACAGGAUGGGGACGCGUCGGAUUAGCUUGACGGCGGGGCGACGGCCCACCGUGGCGACGAUCCGCAGGGGUUCUGAGAGGAAGGUCCCCCCACACUGGCACUGAGACACGGGCCAGACUCCUACGGGAGGCAGCAGUGAGGAAUAUUGGUCAAUGGCCGAGAGGCUGAACCAGCCAAGUAAGCGUGCAGGACGACGGCCCUACGGGUUGUAAACUGCUUUUGCGGGAGGAUAAAGGACGCCACGUGUGGCGUUUUGCAGGUAUCCCGUGAAUAAGGACCGGCUAAUUCCGUGCCAGCAGCCGC
rnacentral:rRNA from 1 species